CAGUCGCCACGGUAAUACGAAGGGUGCAAGCGUUACUCGGAAUUACUGGGCGUAAAGCGCACGUAGGCGGCUAUGUAAGUUAGAGGUGAAAGCCUGGAGCUCAACUCCAGAAUUGCCUUUAAGACUGCAUCGCUUGAAUCCGGGAGAGGUGAGUGGAAUUCCGAGUGUAGAGGUGAAAUUCGUAGAUAUUCGGAAGAACACCAGUGGCGAAGGCGGCUCACUGGACCGGCAUUGACGCUGAGGUGCGAAAGCGUGGGGAGCAAACAGGAUUAGAUACCCGCGUAGUCCCUGUCUCUUAUAC
rnacentral:rRNA from 1 species